GAUUGGACUGGUUUGGUUUGGUUUUGUUGUAAUAUAUGUAAAUUUGUAUUAUUGGUGUGUAAUUUGUAAGAUUGAAUAUUGAGUAAUUAAAAUAAUAGAUUAUUUUUAUAAAAAUGUAAUAUAAUAUGUUUGGUGCAUAAAAUAUAUUGUUUGAGACUUUAUGCAAUAUUAAUUAGUGUAUAUAGAUGAUUGAUCCAACUUAAAAAAUUUAGGCCCAUGAGUCAAAGAAUCAGAGGUAAUGUAGACUUGGGCCGCAGAAAUUAUUAUAGACCCAUUAUGAAAUGUUCUUUACUUCAGAGCAUGAUUCCGUUUUUUUUUAAUUUCAUUAAAGUUUUUACUCUUUUUUUUUCUUUGGACAGCUAAAUAUCUAAGACGACAUUUUUUGUCUUUUCGGUGGAAAAUAAGAAACCCUAUAUUCUUCAAAGUCUAAUGUUCGGUCUGAGAAUCUCUGAGAAAUUUGUUCAAUCAUCAACCUAUUACGUCAGCGUUUAUGAUCUUUCCAUCUCGAAAUCGGAAUUCUUUAUUGAGAUUUUUACAAAGAUGAUGAUGUUGCCAAUAGAAGACGUUUUACAAAGCUAAGUUCUCUGUUACGAUUAUUAUAUAACAAUAUAUGUUUUAAAUAUAUAUGGUGCUAAUGAUAGAUAAUUCUUUGUUUACAGACCAGACAACAUCUUUAAAGAAGGCAAAUUUGAUGUAGUUUAAAGCCAGUCCAGAAUCUGAAAGCACUGAUAAAGUGCAAGCAUCAGUUCUCGUAAAAUUAUUAUGGAUGAAUCAGAAUUGAUAUUGCCUAUGAAGGGUGAAACAUAACUGCAUCGAUAAAGGUUUGACGUCAGCAAGGCUGGAGACUGCUAGCUCAGCUGCCAUUUUCUUAGUGGGAUUGUGUAGAGAAAAGGUGGAAGCUUGAGAAGAUAUGGAUCAUAAAGGCCUGAUAUUAAUAGUGGGCCAAUAAACAUAAAGCCCAUUAUGCAACCAAUCAAAGGUUCAUGUGUAUUACCGAAGUUCGCCCGUGAUCCGUCUCAUUUACCAGAUGGAUAUCCGAUUAAAUAUCCAGGAUCCGCGUCCUUUUGAAUCCCAAAUGUCAAUUAUACCUCUCGACGAAAUUUUUUGUUUUCACUUGAAAUACAAAAUUUGUAAUGGCAUUCCUUUGUAAUUUUUUACCUUUAUUGAGGUUAGUUAUUAAAAAA